rnacentral:pre_miRNA from 1 species
GGGGGAACGCAGGAUCCUGGGCUGUGUCCCCCAGCGCCCUGGGCUCCGGGGCCUGCGCCGCUGGAAUCGCGCUCCCUGGGGCACGCAGACCCCU